AGCCCCAUAAUCUAGCGGUCAAGGAUCCCAGGCUUUGAACCUGGUAACACCUGUUCGAAUCAGGUUGGGGCUA
rnacentral:tRNA from 1 species